CUGCCAGUGAUAAACUGGAGGAAGGUGGGGAUGACGUCAAGUCAUCAUGGCCCUUACGAGUAGGGCUACACACGUGCUACAAUGGCGCAUACAAAGAGAAGCGACCUCGCGAGAGCAAGCGGACCUCAUAAAGUGCGUCGUAGUCCGGAUUGGAGUCUGCAACUCGACUCCAUGAAGUCGGAAUCGCUAGUAAUCGUGGAUCAGAAUGCCACGGUGAAUACGUUCCCGGGCCUUGUACACACCGCCCGUCACACCAUGGGAGUGGGUUGCAAAAGAAGUAGGUAGCUUAACCUUCGGGAGGGCGCUUACCACUUUGUGAUUCAUGACUGGGGUGAAGUCGUAACAAGGUAACCGUAGGGGAACCUGCGGUUGGAUCACCUCCUU
rnacentral:rRNA from 2 species